rnacentral:rRNA from 1 species
AUAGCGUAUAUUAAAGUUGUUGUGGUUAAAAAGCUCGUAGUUGAACCUCGGGCCUGGCUGGCCGGUCCGCCUCACCGCGUGUCACUGGUCCGGCCGGGCCUUUCCUCCUGUGGAACCCCGGGCCCUUCACUGGGCACGGCGGGAAAACAGGACAUUUACUUUGAAAAAAUUAGAGUGCUCCAGGCAGGCCUACGCUCGAAUACAUUAGCAUGGAAUAAUAAAAUAGGACGCGCCGUUCUAUUUUGUUGGUUUACGGACGGCCGUAAUGAUUAAUAGGGACAGUCGGGGGCAUCAGUAUUCAGUGGUCAGAGGUGAAAUUCUUGGAUACACUGAAGACUAACUACUG